GAGACUUGUUCAGACUUCUCCUGCUGGAUAAAAUGAUGACCACCUUCAAUAACA
rnacentral:sRNA from 1 species